AUUGAACGCUGGCGGCAUGCCUUACACAUGCAAGUCGAACGGUAACAGGUUAAACUGACGAGUGGCGAACGGGUGAGUAAUACAUCGGAACGUGCCCAGACGUGGGGGAUAGCUCGGCGAAAGCCGGAUUAAUACCGCAUAAGCUCUGAGGAGGAAAGCGGGGGACCGUAAGGCCUCGCGCGUUUGGAGCGGCCGAUGGCAGAUUAGGUAGUUGGUGGGGUAAAGGCUUACCAAGCCUACGAUCUGUAGCUGGUCUGAGAGGACGACCAGCCACACUGGGACUGAGACACGGCCCAGACUCCUACGGGAGGCAGCAGUGGGGAAUUUUGGACAAUGGGCGCAAGCCUGAUCCAGCAAUGCCGCGUGCAGGAUGAAGGCCUUCGGGUUGUAAACUGCUUUUGUACGGAACGAAAAGGCGCCUACUAAUACUGGGUGUUGAUGACGGUACCGUAAGAAUAAGCACCGGCUAACUACGUGCCAGCAGCCGCAGUAAUAC
rnacentral:rRNA from 1 species